rnacentral:rRNA from 1 species
UACGUAGGGGCUAGCGUUAUCCGGAAUUACUGGGCGUAAAGGGUGCGUAGGCGGUCUUUCAAGCCAGAAGUGAAAGGCUACGGCUCAACCGUAGUAAGCUUUUGGAACUGUAAGACUUGAGUGCAGGAGAGGAGAGUGGAAUUCCUAGUGUAGCGGUGAAAUGCGUAGAUAUUAGGAGGAACACCAGUAACGAAGGCGGCUCUCUGGACUGUAACUGACGCUGAGGCACGAAAGCGUGGGGAGCAAACAGGAUUAGAUACCCCCGUAGUCCCUGAGCGGG